GACGAACCGUACGAACGUUAUUCGGAAUCACUGGGCUUAAAGGGUGCGUAGGCGGCGCGACAAGUUGGGUGUGAAAUCCCUCGGCUCAACCGAGGAACUGCGCCCAAAACUGGGAGGCUAGAGUAUCGGAGAGGUUGGUGGAAUUCUCGGUGUAGAGGUGAAAUUCGUAGAUAUCGAGAGGAACACCGGUGGCGAAGGCGGCCCAAACUGGACGAAUACUGACGCUGGAGAACUCGAAAGCGUGGGGAGCAAACAGGAUUAGA
rnacentral:rRNA from 1 species